UACGUAGGGUGCGAGCGUUGUCCGGAAUUAUUGGGCGUAAAGGGCUCGUAGGCGGUUUGUCGCGUCGGGAGUGAAAACUCAGGGCUUAACCCUGAGCCUGCUUCCGAUACGGGCAGACUAGAGGUAUGCAGGGGAGAAUGGAAUUCCUGGUGUAGCGGUGAAAUGCGCAGAUAUCAGGAGGAACACCCGUGGCUAAGGCGGCUCUCUAGUACGGUACUGACGCUGAGACGCGAAAGCGUGGGGAGCGAACAGG
rnacentral:rRNA from 1 species